rnacentral:tRNA from 1 species
AAGAAAUUAGUUAAAACAUAACAUUAGUGUGUCAAACUAAAAUUAUUGAAUUAUUCAAUAUUUCUUA